rnacentral:rRNA from 1 species
AUUGAACGCUGGCGGCAGGCCUAACACAUGCAAGUCGAACGAGUGGCGUACGGGUGAGUAAUGUCUGGGCAACUGCCUGAUGGAGGGGGAUAACUACUGGAAACGGUAGCUAAUACCGCAUACCCUCGGAUGUGCCCAGAUGGGAUGAGCUAGUAGGUGGGGUAAAGGCUCACCUAGGCGACGAGCCCUAGCUGGUCUGAGAGGAUGACCAGCCACACUGGAAAUGAGACACGGGCCAGAAUCCUACGGGAGGCAGCAGUGGGGAAUAUUGCACAAUGGGCGCAAGCCUGAUGCAGCCAUGCCGCGUGUAUGAAGAAGGCCUUCGGGUUGUAAAGUACUGUCAGCGGGGAGGCGUUACCCGCAGAAGAAGCACCGGCUAACUCCGUGCCAGCAGCCGCGGUAAUUC